rnacentral:rRNA from 1 species
GCAGUCGAACGGCAGCAUGAUCUACCUUGCUAGAUUGAUGGCGAGUGGCGAACGGGUGAGUAAUACAUCGGAACGUGCCCUGUAGUGGGGGAUAACUAGUCGAAAGAUUAGCUAAUACCGCAUACGACCUGAGGGUGAAAGUGGGGGACCGCAAGGCCUCAUGCUAUAGGAGCGGCCGAUGUCUGAUUAGCUAGUUGGUGAGGUAAAGGCUCACCAAGGCGACGAUCAGUAGCUGGUCUGAGAGGACGAUCAGCCACACUGGGACUGAGACACGGCCCAGACUCCUACGGGAGGCAGCAGUGGGGAAUUUUGGACAAUGGGCGAAAGCCUGAUCCAGCAAUGCCGCGUGUGUGAAGAAGGCCUUCGGGUUGUAAAGCACUUUUGUCCGGAAAGAAAUGGCUCUGGUUAAUACCUGGGGUCGAUGACGGUACCGGAAGAAUAAGGACCGGCUAACUACGUGCCAGCAGCCGCGGUAAUACGUAGGGUCCAAGCGUUAAUCGGAAUUACUGGGCGUAAAGCGUGCGCAGGCGGUUGUGCAAGACCGAUGUGAAAUCCCCGGGCUUAACCUGGGAAUUGCAUUGGUGACUGCACGGCUAGAGUGUGUCAGAGGGGGGUA